rnacentral:lncRNA from 1 species
UAAGUACAACAAUGUGAAUAUAAAAUAGGAAGGUGACUCCGAAGCCUGCGAACGCAACAUCAUGACUUCCUUGAAUCUCCUCGGCAAGAAUUCGCACAGCUACUAAUGAACAAUACAUGGAUUUGCACAAAAACAAAUGUGCAAAAGUGUAAAAUGAGCACACCACAACGGGCUCCAGUAAGUACGAGGACUAACCUCGGUGGGGUAGGGACGAUGACUAGUCAUGACACCCACUGGUCUAAUAAACUGAUCAAGUGUGAGUAUAGAAUAACAUGAUAUGAUAUAUAUAUAUAUAUAUAUAUAUAUAUAAAGACUACGUUGUGUGACUAACAAUACAAUACUUCCAAUAAGGAAUGAAACA